AUUGAACGCUGGCGGAAUGCUUUACACAUGCAAGUCGAGCGGCAGCGCGGGGGCAACCCUGGCGGCGAGCGGCGAACGGGUGAGUAACACAUCGGAACGUACCCAGUUGUGGGGGGAUAGCCCGGCGAAAGCCGGAUUAAUACCGCAUACGACCUGAGGGUGAAAGGGGGGGAUCGCAAGACCUCUCGCAGUUGGAGCGGCCGAUGGCGGAUUAGCUAGUUGGUGGGGUAAAGGCUCACCAAGGCGACGAUCCGUAGCUGGUCUGAGAGGACGACCAGCCACACUGGAACUGAGACACGGUCCAGACUCCUACGGGAGGCAGCAGUGGGGAAUUUUGGACAAUGGGGGCAACCCUGAUCCAGCCAUUCCGCGUGAGUGAAGAAGGCCUUCGGGUUGUAAAGCUCUUUCGGCAGGAACGAAACGGUGGAGGCUAAGUACCUUUCAUCAAUGACGGUACCUGAAGAAGAAGCACCGGCUAACUACGUGCCAGCAGCCGCGGUAACUCAUACUCGUA
rnacentral:rRNA from 1 species